rnacentral:lncRNA from 1 species
AAACUAUUAAUUUAUCACGUAUAAUAAUACUAUAUUACAAGCCUACUUUAAUUCCUUCACAAGUUUCAGUUUAUAAAAACCCACUAAAGACACUCAAAAAAAUUCAAAAAGGUCACCCAUCAUCAACCAUGCCACCUUUCACCACCACCUUUGCCGCCAUCUUCCUCCUCCUCACCACCACCUCUGCCAAUCCAACUCAACGGCCGUUCAAGAAAAUCUAUGCAUUCGGUGACUCCUACACCGACACCGGAAACACCGCUUCCGCUAGCGGCCCUAAUGCCUUCACCUACGUCUCCAACCUCCCUUAUGGCCGGACAUUUUUCCACCACCCCACCAACCGCUACUCCGACGGCCGCCUUGUCAUUGACUUUGUGGCGGAAUCACUUUCCUUGCCCUACUUGCCGCCCUACCGCCACCGCAAAGUUGACACCUCGUUUGGUGUCAACUAUGCUGUGGCGGGGUCCACCGCCAUACCACAUGAGUUCUUUGUCAAAAAUAAC